GAUAUUUGUUCCUGAGUCAUGGGUAUUUUCUAUGUAUAUAUAAGUAUGUAUAUCUAUUUAUAUAUAUUAUAUAUAUCGUUGUCUGAGUACCCACAAUACAAGCCUUCUUGAGCUUACCGUGGGGCUUAGUCAAUUUGUGUAAGAAUGUCC